GGGUGAUCUGAUUGUGACAUCUGUCACCUCAUUUGAUCAUCAGGUUUGAUUCUGGGUCUGAUCUGGGUGGCUAAGUGGAUGCCCCCUUACAAAGAGGACUGAAGAGGAAUGGAGACGGACCAGUCCUGGGUUGAGGGUUUAGAAGUAUUUGCAUUUCCCUGCUAGAACCUCCACACAAGCUCUCAAAAAGCAAACGUGCACAGCAAGUAAUACGCAAAUUCUCGAAGACACCAACAACUGAAGUGUGU
rnacentral:snRNA from 1 species